rnacentral:ncRNA from 2 species
GCGCCCACCUCGGGGGGCCACUGGCUGAGAUGCGCGUCGCGCGGACCCGUUGAACCUGAACCGGAUCACACCGGCGGAGGGAAGGUACGGGACACAUGC